UCCUGACCUAUCAUCUAUCGCAUUGGAGACCUUCUGGAUUCAGACUUUACUGGACUUUAUCUUGCACUAAACGUUAUUCCCUUUAUCCUGUAUCUGUGCACUGUGGACAGCAUGAUUGUAAUCAUGUGAGUUCUUUUCGCUGACUGGAUAGCACGCAACAAAAAAGCUUUACACAGUACCUUGGUAGACGUGACCAUAAUAAAGGAACUAAAUAAACGAA